GGGCGUGUAACUCAGUGGUAGAGUGCCUGCUUCGCAUCUAGUAUGCGUAUGCGGGAAGUCUUGGGUUCAAACCCCAACUCGUCCA